CAGCCGCGGUAAUACAUAGGGUGCAAGCGUUGUCCGGAAUUAUUGGGCGUAAAGAGCUCGUAGGUGGUUCGUCACGUCGGAUGUGAAAAUCUGGGGCUUAACCCCAGACCUGCAUUCGAUACGGGCGAGCUAGAGUGUGGUAGGGGAGACUGGAAUUCCUGGUGUAGCGGUGGAAUGCGCAGAUAUCAGGAGGAACACCAAUGGCGAAGGCAGGUCUCUGGGCCAUUACUGACACUGAGGAGCGAAAGCGUGGGGAGCGAACAGGAUUAGAUACCCUGGUAGUCCACGCCGUAAACGGUGGGCACUAGUUGUGGGAACCUUCCACGGUUUCUGCGACGCAGCUAACGCAUUAAGUGCCCCGCCUGGGGAGUACGAUCGCAAGAUUAAAACUCAAAGGAAUUGACGGGGCCCCGCACAAGCAGCGGAGCAUGCGGCUUAAUUCGACGCAACGCGAAGAACCUUACCAAGGCUUGACAUAUACAGGAAUAUGGCAGAAAUGUCAUAGCCGCAAGGUCUGUAUACAGGUGGUGCAUGGUUGUCGUCAGCUCGUGUCGUGAGAUGUUGGGUUAAGUCCCGCAACGAGCGCAACCCUCGUUCUGUGUUGCCAGCAUUUAGUUGGGGACUCACAGGAGACUGCCGGGGUUAACUCGGAGGAAGGUGGGGAUGACGUCAAAUCAUCAUGCCCCUUAUGUCUUGGGCUGCACGCAUGCUACAAUGGCUGGUACAAACGGCUGCGAUACCGCAAGGUGGAGCGAAUCCGAUAAAGCCAGUCUCAGUUCGGAUUGGGGUCUGCAACUCGACCCCAUGAAGUCGGAGUUGCUAGUAAUCGUAGAUCAGCAACGCUACGGUGAAUACGUUCCCGGGGCUUGU
rnacentral:rRNA from 1 species